rnacentral:rRNA from 1 species
CCCUUAGAUGUCCUGGGCCGCACGCGCGUUACACUGAUGCAUUCAACGAGCUUAUAACCUUGGCCGAGAGGCCUGGGCAAUCUUGUUAACGUGCAUCGUGAUAGGGAUAGAUUAUUGAAAUUAUUAAUCUUGAACGAGGAAUUCCUAGUAAACGCAGAUCAUCAAUCUGCAUUGAUUACGUCCCUGCCCUUUGUACACACCGCCCGUCGCUACUACCGAUUGGAUGGUUUAGUGAGACCCUCGGAUCGGUCCCGACUCGGGGUGGGCUUCUGCCCCGGUCGUGGUUUCGCCGAGAAGACGGUCAAACUUGACUAUCUAGAGGAAGUAAAAGUCGUAACA